GAGAAGAGGAGUGGCGUCAGGCUGGAAAAAGGAGACGGGCAAGGCCCUCUGGGCAAAGGGCCUGGCCCCUGACCGAAGCGGUAGCUGGCACCGACAGUGGAGGAGGCGUGGCACGGAAUGGCGUGGUAAGAGGAGUCGAGAAGAGGAGUGGCGUCAGGCUGGAAAAAGGAGACGGGCAAGGCCCUCUGGGCAAAGGGCCUGGCCCCUGACCGAAGCGGUAGCUGGCACCGACAGUGGAGGAGGCGUGGCACGGAAUGGCGUGGUAAGAGGAGUCGAGAAGAGGAGUGGCGUCAGGCUGGAAAAAGGAGACGGGCAAGGCCCUCUGGGCAAAGGGCCUGGCCCCUGAC